rnacentral:rRNA from 1 species
GACGAACGCUGGCGGCGUGCCUAAUACAUGCAAGUCGAACGAACUCUGGUAUUGAUUGGUGCUUGCAUCAUGAUUUACAUUUGAGUGAGUGGCGAACUGGUGAGUAACACGUGGGAAACCUGCCCAGAAGCGGGGGAUAACACCUGGAAACAGAUGCUAAUACCGCAUAACAACUUGGACCGCAUGGUCCGAGUUUGAAAGAUGGCUUCGGCUAUCACUUUUGGAUGGUCCCGCGGCGUAUUAGCUAGAUGGUGGGGUAACGGCUCACCAUGGCAAUGAUACGUAGCCGACCUGAGAGGGUAAUCGGCCACAUUGGGACUGAGACACGGCCCAAACUCCUACGGGAGGCAGCAGUAGGGAAUCUUCCACAAUGGACGAAAGUCUGAUGGAGCAACGCCGCGUGAGUGAAGAAGGGUUUCGGCUCGCAAAACUCUGUUGUUAAAGAAGAACAUAUCUGAGAGUAACUGUUCAGGUAUUGACGGUAUUUAACCAGAAAGCCACGGCUAACUACGUGCCAGCAGCCGCGGUAAUACGUAGGUGGCAAGCGUUGUCCGGAUUUAUUGGGCGUAAAGCGAGCGCAGGCGGUUUUUUAAGUCUGAUGUGAAAGCCUUCGGCUCAACCGAAGAAGUGCAUCGGAAACUGGGAAACUUGAGUGCAGAAGAGGACAGUGGAACUCCAUGUGUAGCGGUGAAAUGCGUAGAUAUAUGGAAGAACACCAGUGGCGAAGGCGGCUGUCUGGUCUGUAACUGACGCUGAGGCUCGAAAGUAUGGGUAGCAAACAGGAUUAGAUACCCUGGUAGUCCAUACCGUAAACGAUGAAUGCUAAGUGUUUGAGGGUUUCCGCCCUUCAGUGCUGCAGCUAACGCAUUAAGCAUUCCGCCUGGGGAGUACGGCCGCAAGGCUGAAACUCAAAGGAAUUGACGGGGGCCCGCACAAGCGGUGGAGCAUGUGGUUUAAUUCGAAGCUACGCGAAGAACCUUACCAGGUCUUGACAUACUAUGCAAAUCUAAGAGAUUAGACGUUCCCUUCGGGGACAUGGAUACAGGUGGUGCAUGGUUGUCGUCAGCUCGUGUCGUGAGAUGUUGGGUUAAGUCCCGCAACGAGCGCAACCCUUAUUAUCAGUUGCCAGCAUUAAGUUGGGCACUCUGGUGAGACUGCCGGUGACAAACCGGAGGAAGGUGGGGAUGACGUCAAAUCAUCAUGCCCCUUAUGACCUGGGCUACACACGUGCUACAAUGGAUGGUACAACGAGUUGCGAACUCGCGAGAGUAAGCUAAUCUCUUAAAGCCAUUCUCAGUUCGGAUUGUAGGCUGCAACUCGCCUACAUGAAGUCGGAAUCGCUAGUAAUCGCGGAUCAGCAUGCCGCGGUGAAUACGUUCCCGGGCCUUGUACACACCGCCCGUCACACCAUGAGAGUUUGUAACACCCAAAGUCGGUGGGGUAACCUUUUAGGAACCAGCCGCCUAAGGUGGGACAGAUGAUUAGGGUG